rnacentral:tRNA from 1 species
GGAGGCAUGGUGUAACGGAGAGCAUCGGGGGUUUCGAACCCCUGGAUCCCGGUUCGAUUCCGGGUGCCUCCA